rnacentral:tRNA from 1 species
GGUUAUGGCUUAAGUGAUAGAGCACCUACCUUUCAAGUGGGAGACUCUGAGUUAAAACUCUGGUAUUACCA